rnacentral:rRNA from 1 species
UACGUAGGAGGCAAGCGUUGUCCGGAAUCACUGGGCGUAAAGCGCGUGUAGGUGGUGGGACAAGUCUGCUGUGAAAGCGCCUGGCUUAACCGGGCGAGGUCGGCGGAAACUGUUCGACUCGAGGACGGUAGAGGGGGGUGGAAUUCCCGGUGUAGUGGUGAAAUGCGUAGAGAUCGGGAGGAACACCUGUGGCGAAAGCGGCGCACUGGACCACAACUGACGCUGAGGCGCGAAAGCUAGGGGAGCAAACAGG